GGGGCUGAUUCUGGAUUCGACGGGAUUUGCGAAGCCCAAGGAGCAUGCCGAGGGGCGGUUGGCCUCGUAAAAAGCCGCAAAAAAAUAGUCGCAAACGACGAAAACUACGCUUUAGCAGCUUAAUAACCUGCUCAGAGCCCUCUCUCCCUAGCCUCCGCUCUUAGGACGGGGAUCAAGAGAGGUCAAACCCAAAAGAGAUCGCGUGGAUGCCCUGCCUGGGGUUGAAGCGUUAAAUCUAAUCAGGCUAGUCUGUUAGUAGCGUGUCCAUCCGCAGCUGGCAGGCGAAUGUAAAGAUUGGACUAAGCAUGUAGUGCCGACGGUGUAGUAAUUUCGGACGCGGGUUCAACUCCCGCCAGCUCCACCA
rnacentral:tmRNA from 1 species